CGCGUGGGAACGUACCCUUUGGUACGGAAUAGCCCCGGGAAACUGGGAGUAAUACCGUAUGGUGUCUUCGGACUAAAGAUUUAUCGCCAAAGGAUCGGCCCGCGUUGGAUUAGGUAGUUGGUGGGGUAAUGGCCUACCAAGCCGACGUUCCAUAGCUGGUUUGAGAGGAUGAUCAGCCACACUGGGACUGAGACACGGCCCAGACUCCUACGGGAGGCAGCAGUGGGGAAUCUUAGACAAUGGGCGCAAGCCUGAUCUAGCCAUGCCGCGUGAGUGAUGAAGGCCCUAGGGUUGUAAAGCUCUUUCAGCUGGGAAGAUAAUGACGGUACCAGCAGAAGAAGCCCCGGCUAACUCCGUG
rnacentral:rRNA from 1 species